rnacentral:tRNA from 1 species
GCUCCCUUAGUGAAACGGAUAUCACGUCAGGCUUCGGACCUGAAGUUGGGGGUUCGAAUCCUCUGGGGAGCAC